ACCCUGGUGGCAUAGUGGUUAAGUGCUAUGGCUGCUAACCAAAAGGCUGGUAGUUCAAAUCUACCCGGUG
rfam:Loxodonta africana unplaced genomic scaffold scaffold_0, whole genome shotgun sequence.